GAUGAACGCUGGCGGCGUGCCUAAUACAUGCAAGUCGAGCGAACGGACGAGAAGCUUGCUUCUCUGAUGUUAGCGGCGGACGGGUGAGUAACACGUGGAUAACCUACCUAUAAGACUGGGAUAACUUCGGGAAACCGGAGCUAAUACCGGAUAAUAUUUUGAACCGCAUGGUUCAAAAGUGAAAGACGGUCUUGCUGUCACUUAUAGAUGGAUCCGCGCUGCAUUAGCUAGUUGGUAAGGUAACGGCUUACCAAGGCAACGAUGCAUAGCCGACCUGAGAGGGUGAUCGGCCACACUGGAACUGAGACACGGCCCAGACUCCUACGGGAGGCAGCAGUAGGGAAUCUUCCGCAAUGGGCGAAAGCCUGACGGAGCAACGCCGCGUGAGUGAUGAAGGUCUUCGGAUCGUAAAACUCUGUUAUUAGGGAAGAACAUAUGUGUAAGUAACUGUGCACAUCUUGACGGUACCUAAUCAGAAAGCCACGGCUAACUACGUGCCAGCAGCCGCGGUAAUACGUAGGUGGCAAGCGUUAUCCGGAAUUAUUGGGCGUAAAGCGCGCGUAGGCGGUUUUUUAAGUCUGAUGUGAAAGCCCACGGCUCAACCGUGGAGGGUCAUUGGAAACUGGAAAACUUGAGUGCAGAAGAGGAAAGUGGAAUUCCAUGUGUAGCGGUGAAAUGCGCAGAGAUAUGGAGGAACACCAGUGGCGAAGGCGACUUUCUGGUCUGUAACUGACGCUGAUGUGCGAAAGCGUGGGGAUCAAACAGGAUUAGAUACCCUGGUAGUCCACGCCGUAAACGAUGAGUGCUAAGUGUUAGGGGGUUUCCGCCCCUUAGUGCUGCAGCUAACGCAUUAAGCACUCCGCCUGGGGAGUACGACCGCAAGGUUGAAACUCAAAGGAAUUGACGGGGACCCGCACAAGCGGUGGAGCAUGUGGUUUAAUUCGAAGCAACGCGAAGAACCUUACCAAAUCUUGACAUCCUUUGACAACUCUAGAGAUAGAGCUUUCCCCUUCGGGGGACAAAGUGACAGGUGGUGCAUGGUUGUCGUCAGCUCGUGUCGUGAGAUGUUGGGUUAAGUCCCGCAACGAGCGCAACCCUUAAGCUUAGUUGCCAUCAUUAAGUUGGGCACUCUAAGUUGACUGCCGGUGACAAACCGGAGGAAGGUGGGGAUGACGUCAAAUCAUCAUGCCCCUUAUGACUUGGGCUACACACGUGCUACAAUGGACAAUACAAAGGGCAGCGAAACCGCGAGGUCAAGCAAAUCCCAUAAAGUUGUUCUCAGUUCGGAUUGUAGUCUGCAACUCGACUACAUGAAGCUGGAAUCGCUAGUAAUCGUAGAUCAGCAUGCUACGGUGAAUACGUUCCCGGGUCU
rnacentral:rRNA from 1 species